CGGACGGUUACCAAUUGAUGCCCCACCAAAGGAUGUCUACAUAAUGUCCUCAUACAGACAAAUUUUCUGUUAUGACUAAAUUGCCCCAGCAUCUCAUUCUACUGCUAAUGUCGAAUUACAGUUCAAAUAAAGAAAGUUUUUAGUGAUGAAGCCUGGAGUAAUUCACUCUUUAACACCUAAAUCUCUUCGAGGCGGUGAAGUAUGAGCGGGCACACGAAAUAUAUAUUUAUGGGGUUAUCUUAGUCUUGUACUUUAGCUUAGUUUACAUACUUUUUACGGUAAGUUUGUAUUUCCAUCUUGAAUUUAUAUUUUGUUGAUAUAUAUCCGUGUUAGCCCUUGUUUGAUCCCCAUUCUUUGGAGAAAAUAAAUUCUUCAACAGUGUUUUGACAUAAUUCUAACGACACAUUCUUUAAUAAAAUAAUAUUACACGUAAAUCCAAAACGUUUCAUUAUUUUUUAACCACAUAUUUUUCAUCAAUACACUAUUUAAAAAUUCAUUUUUCCCAUCAAAAUGGGGCUCAACCAAGGGCUUAAUAAACAGUCUUUAGUUGUGUGAGAUGAUUAAAAUAAAAUAAAACUAUUGACUAAGGAUCAGUUUAGCGGAAUUUUCGAAAAGUCAAAAGCUAUUUAUGAAACUAAGAAGCUGCUUUUGUGUUUGAUUCGAUAAUUUUUUGUAGUGUUCAUAAUUUCUACUUUUGUUUUUGUUUCUUACAAAAGAGCUUUCUUAGGACAAGGCCUUAUGCUAAAAAAAGCAGAAGUACUGAAAAACGGCCUUAAGUGUUUAAGGAACUCAAUUGUUGUACUCAAUUGUUGUUGCGUGUACUGCAAAGAAAGCAAAGGGGUAUUUUAGUAAGUGCAGAUCUAAUCAAAUUCCCUAGAUCUGCUGUUGUAGCAAGUGUUGAAAUAUUACAAGUAUAAUAAAGGUCAACUAAUUGAUGAUCCCAAAGUCUUGUGAUGCAAAAAAGAAGAAACAUCCAAUAAAAUGUCAAGAUUUGAGGAUGCAUUGUCUGUAUUGAUGAACGUAAUGCUGAGGAAGAGCAUCAGCAUAUAUCAAGAAUUUUCAUUUGUGCUGUUGGACUUGGUUUCGGUACUGAAUUCAAUGUUUCGAUUUUCGGGCAUGUUUUUGCAGAGAUCGAACGCAGUUCCCAGUCGUCACUCGCCUAUGUCAUCGAUGUUUGCUCGCCAUGACUGGUAAAAGUUGUUGCUAAACAUGGUUAGAAUAAAAAUGGUGAUAGUCGAUCCCAAAUUUAUUAGGAACAAAAGUUUAAACGUUGUUUUGUUGUUGUGUUGUGUUGUGAUGACAUGAUGAAUGUUGUAAGUCUAGAUCUAAGUACUGUAUCAAGAAUCAUAUCAUGAUUGAUUGAAUAAUUUUGUGAUUUUUUCUCACUAUAAGAAUUUGCGUUCCAUCAUGAAGGAAAAUCGCUUCUUUGCAAAAACUAAUGACUUUAUUCUGAUUAAUCAGAAGAUUGAUUUUGGACAUAGUCUACAAAUUAUCUCCAUUGAUUGAGUCUUGAAAAAGAAAUGAUGAAUCUAUUGUGUUAUCUUGGAAUUUAUGUAGACAUGGUAAUAGUAUUAG
rnacentral:lncRNA from 1 species